rnacentral:rRNA from 1 species
CCCUUAGACGUUCUGGGCCGCACGCGCGCUACACUGACGAAGGCAACGAGCUUUCCUUUACCGAAAGGUACGGGUAAUCUUUUGAAACUUCGUCGUGCUGGGGAUAGAUCCUUGCAAUUUUUGAUCUUAAACGAGGAAUGCCUAGUAAGCGCAAGCCAUCAACUUGCGUUGAUUACGUCCCUGCCCUUUGUACACACCGCCCGUCGCACCUACCGAUUGAAUGGUCCGGUGAAGCCUCGGGAUUGUGGCCAGUUCACUUCAUUGGGAGUUGGCUGCGAGAACUUGUCUAAACCUUAUCAUUUAGAGGAAGGUGAAGUCGUAACA